CUAUUUUAGCCUAGGGCUCAAAUGUGCCGCUAGUUGGCGCUUAGCUGGUUUUAGUAAACCUCAGGGACAGACUAGGAAUGGGGCGCCACCUGCUGGUAACUAUAUUACAUUGCGGUGCCAAAAUUGUUGCUUCGGCCGUGUGUUGUACGGAAUUGAAUUGUGGAGCUCAAAAAUGUCCUACGAAGAGAGUUAUUUCUGGUGUGGCCACGGUGGCAGAGCUGAGGAGAGUGAACUGUGGAGACGAAGUGCAUACGGGGGAGGUCAAGGAACCUACAGCCAAAUCCGUGUUCACUGAGUGAUGGGCAGUGGCACGAGACUCAUUUGCUCAUCAAGGAAAAGCAGAUCUCACUGUUGACCGGAAGCCCCAGCAUUCAGAACCAACGUUGUUCCCGUGGGAAAUCUUCAGAGGAUUUCUGAACCAGAUGAGUAAGCAGGUUUACAGAAAAACUGAGUGGCAAGAAGCGAGUUCCCACACACCCUGUCCUACCCUCACGCACCUGGCUACCACGGUUCCUCUGUCAACAUCCUGUCACUCGUUGAUGCCGCACUGACGCAGUAUUGUCAUCCCAAGCCCACAGUGUACACCAAGUCACUGGAGCUUGAAAUUUGGGAGUGUUUUAUUAAUGUGUUCCUGACCCAUUUUCUCAAGAGAUACAGCAAAGGUAUGGUCAGGGCUACAGCCUGACAGCUGGGAGCAUUUUAGCAGAAGCACUCUCACUGCUCACUCACGUGACUGGCAUAUUGAUGCCUAUGUCUCCCAGGAGGAGGGCUGGUAGUCACACAGCAUGGAGAGUGUCAGGAAUCCUCAGCAUCUUCUGUAACAGUUUGGUGAGUUGUCACUUUUACCACCUCAUCUAUCUAUCUAUCUAUCUAUCUAUCUAUCUAUCUAUCUAUCUAUCUAUCAUGUAUAGUGUUGUGCCUGCAUAUACACCUGCAAACCAGA